CUAAGCCCCAAAUCACAUACAUACCUAUAUAUACAUGCAAUAAAUGAGAUAAUGUGUUUUUCUUUUGCAUUUCUACUCCCAUAGUUCUUUUUCUCAAUGUGGAUAGCAUCCUUUCCCAUAAUUCCUUCAGGUGUGUCCUGGCUUGUUGCAUUGCUACUAAUAGCAACGUCCAUUACGUUCAAUUGUUCCACAAUGUUUUACUUUCUGUGUACAAUGUUCUGGUUCUCAUUUCUCUUGGCAUCAAUUCCUGGAGGUCAUUCCAGUUCACAUGGAAUUCCUCCACUUUAUUAUUCCUUUGAGCACAAUAGUAUUCCAUCACCAACAGAUACCACAAUUUGUUCAGCCAUUCCCCAAUCGAUGGACACCCCCUCAUUUUCCAAUUUUUUGCCACCACAGUGUGUAUGCCUAUGUAUUUUUUAAAAAUGCAUUUAAAAGCAUUAUUUUGCCUGAGAAGGAGUCCAUAGGCUUCAUCAGACAGCCAAAAGGAUCUAUGACAAAAAACAAACAAGAACCUCCAUCGGAGCAAAGUGACAAAGUAGUUAAACUUGUUCUCUCUCUUCUGGUUGACUUUAGCCCCAAUGAAAAAGCCUGGGAGGCAGGUGUGCAUGCCUCUUGAGCUCAGAAAGCCUCAGAUUUCCAGACGUGUCUCAACAGACCCGUAUUACUGAGGGUGUGAAUAUCUCUUCUGCCUUGCUGCUCCCCCCAAAAUGGAACUGUGAUUGGGGACAGGAGGCCCAGUAAAUGGAAUUGAUGGGAAACACCUGGAGAAAGAAUUACUGAUUGCUAAUCUUGUAUAGAAAGAAGAUCAAGAUUGAUAUAUAACGAUAUAAUAAAUGCCCUUUGCAAAGCAUCUACUCAGUAAUUGGUCAAGGAUCCAUUAAGGUGACCAACAAUCAAAUUAAAACUGGUUGACAAUCUAAAAA